rnacentral:rRNA from 1 species
UACGAAGGGGGCUAGCGUUGCUCGGAAUCACUGGGCGUAAAGCGCACGUAGGCGGACUCUUAAGUCGGUGGUGAAAUCCUGGAGCUCAACUCCAGAACUGCCUUCGAUACUGGGAGUCUCGAGUUCGGGAGAGGUGAGUGGAACUGCGAGUGUAGAGGUGAAAUUCGUAGAUAUUCGCAAGAACACCAGUGGCGAAGGCGGCUCACUGGCUCGGUACUGACGCUGAGGUGCGAAAGCGUGGGGAGCAAACAGG